UGCCAGCAACUCCUAUCCCUACCUCCUCGCGGUACUGGCCGGGAUAUGAGUAACCUUAGGAAAGAUCGGGUAACCAACCCCGGUGGGAACUCUGGUCAUAUGCUGACAGGGAAAG
rnacentral:ribozyme from 1 species